UACGUAGGGGGCAAGCGUUGUCCGGAUUUAUUGGGCGUAAAGAGCGUGUAGGCGGCUGGGUAGGUCCGUUGUGAAAACUCGAGCUCAACCUCGAGACGCCGAUGGAAACCCUCCAGCUAGAGUCCGGAAGAGGAGAGUGGAAUUCCGUGGUGUAGCGGUGAAAUGCGCAGAUAUCAGGAAGAACACCCGUGGCUAAGGCGGCUCUCUAGUACGUACUGACGCUGAGACGCGAAAGCGUGGGGAGCGAACAGG
rnacentral:rRNA from 1 species